GACGAACGCUGGCGGCGUGCUUAACACAUGCAAGUCGAACGGAAAGGCCCUGCUUUUGUGGGGUGCUCGAGUGGCGAACGGGUGAGUAACAUGAGAGUAACCUGCCCUUGCCUUUGGGAUAACUUCAGGAAACUGGGGCUAAUACCGGAUAGGAGCUCCUGCUGCAUGGUGGGGGUUGGAAAGUUUCGGCGGUUGGGGCUGGACUCGCGGCUUAUCAGCUUGUUGGUGGGGUAGUGGCUUACCAAGGCUUUGACGGGUAGCCGGCCUGAGAGGGUGACCGGCCACAUUGGGACUGAGAUACGGCCCAGACUCGUACGGGAGGCAGCAGUGGGGAAUAUUGCACAGUGGGCGGGAGCCUGAUGCAGCAACGCCGCGUGCGGGAUGACGGCCUUCGGGUUGUAAACCGCUUUCGCCUGUGACGAAGCGUGAGUGACGGUAAUGGGUAAAGAAGCACCGGCUAACUACGUG
rnacentral:rRNA from 1 species